rnacentral:rRNA from 1 species
UGCCAGCCGCCGCGGUAAUACGAAGGGUGCUAGCGUUGUUCGGAAUUACUGGGCGUAAAGAGCAUGUAGGCGGAUGAAUUAGUCAGUGGUGAAAGCCCACAGCUCAACUGUGGAACUGCCAUUGAUACUGGUUGACUUGAGUACAGAUGAGGUAGGCGGAAUUUAUGGUGUAGCGGUGAAAUGCAUAGAUACCAUAAAGAACACCGAUAGCGAAGGCAGCUUACUAAACUGUUACUGACACUGAGGCACGAAAGCAUGGGUAGCGAACAGGAUUAGAUA